GAAAGGGACAGAAGUGACAUCCAGAUAGGAGAUCUUAAGUCUUCAACUGAUCCUACUUGGGAAGAAAAAUGAAGAGAUUGAUUAAUGAUUUAUUCCUGCUCCUGUGGCUGCAGCUGCACUUGCUGAGCCAAGGAGAGAAGGUGGAGCAGAGUCCUUCUGUCCUGAGUGUGCAGGAGGGAGAUGGAUGUGUCAUCAACUGUACUUACACAGACAGUGCCUUCUCAUACUUCCCUUGGUACAAGAAAGAACCAGGACAGGGUCCCCAGCUUAUUAUAGACAUCCGUUCAAAUCGGGACAGAAAUGAAAAUGGAAAACUCCUGGUCUUAUUGAAGAAGAAUGACAAACACCUUUCCCUGCUCAUCAAAGACACUCAGCCUGGGGACUCAGCUGUCUACUACUGUGCAGCAAGUACACAUUGCUCCCCAGGCACCUGCAGCCCGUCCUCAAACCUGCCUCUAGGAUUGCAGCCCACAUCUUUCCUUGCCAUAGCCCUUCCAGCCCAGCAUUUGCCUAUUGUUUGCAAGUGGCAGCUAACACAGAGAUACUAAGAAUAAAUAUUAAGAAUAAAUAUUAUGUUUAGGGGACAUGGCUGUUGAGAACCUCUUAUAGGUGGAUUAUUUGUAAGAGACAAUUUUUUCUAGUUUAUUUAGUAUUAUUUAUAGGAAGGAUACAUGCUUUGAGGUGAAAGAAAAAUCGGUAGAGCUAGGUUUAGGGAUGGAACACAAGGUCUCAUUUCCCAACCUCUCUGGGCAUGCCAAAUCCAGGCUCAUCCUCAGAUUCAGCAUUUGUUAAGCUGCACUUAACAACUUGUUAGAAGCAACUAAUGGUGGGUUCUUUUCUUUUUGUCUUGUGCCAGUAUGUAGACUUGAACUCAGGGCUUGGACCCUGCCCUUGAGCUUUUGUGUUCAAAGCUAGUGCUCUAGCACUUAAGCCAAAGCUCAAUUCCAGCUUUUGAUGAGUA